CAGGACGUGAGACCGCUCUCCGCUGCCGAAGCGUGGCUUCGACGGGAACUAAAACGGAAGUAUCUAGGCCUUGCAUCCCUCCAGCGCUCCAUCGCUCGACAACGCCUCCGCCUCCGCUGGCUUAAGGAGGGCGAGGCUUCUUCGGCCUUCUCUAAGAUCCUAGCUUCUCACCGGGCGCAGAAGAACAAGAUUCUUGAUCUUAUGGUUGAUGGCCAGCGUGUUUCCGGAGAGGCCGACCUUGCCCGUGCUGCGUUCAACCAUUUC
rnacentral:rRNA from 1 species